UACGAAGGGGGCUAGCGUUGCUCGGAAUGACUGGGCGUAAAGGGCGCGUAGGCGGAUGGCACAGUCAGAUGUGAAAUUCCCGGGCUUAACCUGGGGGCUGCAUUUGAUACGUGUUGUCUAGAGUGAGGAAGAGGGUUGUGGAAUUCCCAGUGUAGAGGUGAAAUUCGUAGAUAUUGGGAAGAACACCGGUGGCGAAGGCGGCAACCUGGUCCUUGACUGACGCUGAGGCGCGAAAGCGUGGGGAGGCGAACAGG
rnacentral:rRNA from 1 species